rnacentral:tRNA from 1 species
GCCUGGGUGGCUCAGUCGGUUGAGCGUCUGACUUCGGCUCAGGUCAUGAUCUCACGGUUCGUGAGUUCGAGCCCCGCGUCGGGCU